GGGCGGGGCCUCGCACCUCUGGGGGCGGGGCUAGCUGCUGUUGCCGGAAGGGCUGCGCCGCGGCAUGCUGGCCCUCGCCGGCCUCCGUCGGCUGCCGGGGCGGCGGGGCGCGGGGCGGGGCGGCGCGGCCAUGCCCCGCAAGGGAAAGGGCGGCGGGGAGGAUGCUGCUGCCACUGCCGGGCCGGCCGCCUCCGCGGGGCCUGUGGCGGCGGGCGGCGAUGGCUCCGUGCGGGUGGUCGUGCGCGCCAAGCCCGGGUGCCGGCGCAGCGCCGUGACAGAUGUGACAACUGAGGCAGUAGGUGUAGCUAUUGCUGCACCUCCGUCAGAAGGGGAGGCAAAUGCAGAGCUGUGUCGCUACCUCUCUAAGGUGCUAGAGGUGAAGAAGAGUGAAGUCUUUUUAGAGAAGGGUGGUAAAUCACGUGACAAAGUGGUGAAGAUUUUGGUAUCGAUGACACCAGAUGAGAUAUUAGAAAAACUGAAAAAAGAAGCUUCCAGUUGACCUAAAACAAGAGCAGGAAAUGGAACAAUGCAUCUUGUUCCCAGGCUUCUCCGUGUUAUGAGUGGAAAACAGCAAUCCAGAAAAUGAUGAGUCCUGCAUUAAUAAAUUAUAUGCUGAGAUGAAUCCUGCAACAGCCAUUAUAAAGAUUUCCUAGGAAACUGAUACCACAUGUUACGUGAUAUAUAUUAUAUGCUAUAUUGAAAUAAUGUAUUACAUUUUUCCAUGAUUUCAGAGCCAUUUUGAAGGAAGAACUGGGUGGAUAUGUACAGUCACUGAAGUACGUUGGUCUUCAGUGAUGAUUAUCUAUAACAUUAGCCAACUUAAUCUUUUCAUUCCCUACCGAGACUUGGUUUAAUUUGUCCAGUUGUCAUAGUUUGCAAAAUUUGUUGCAGUUAACUAUUUUUUAGCAUUGCUUCUUAAGAAGCAAAAAUGUUAUUGGUGGCAUGUAUUCAAGACCUAACUUCUGUUGCUCAGUGCAUUAGCUAAUUAAGGUCUUGGUGCAGGUGUAAUGAGGCCAUGGCAAAAGGAACCCACAGUAGCAAUUAAAGCAGAGGGAUGAAAAUUAAGGUCUGUUAGUAGAGGCUUUCCUCACUCAAGACUGAGUAAGUGGAGUAGCUUGCAGUGUGGCAGCUCAGUCUUUAUAUGCUGGGAACAGAGAAUGUCUUUAAUAUCAGUAACCAAAAUUAAGUAUUUUAGAAAGGUAAUAUAGGUAAAAUUGUGGUGUCGCCACAUUUGACAUCUGAGAGCCUCUUAUAUCAGUAUUUUUAUGCACACUCCCAAUUUUAUCAGUAAUACUCCAGUUGCUGAUGCGUUUAUGCUGGUGACAUGCCUGGGAGGCAGGAAGACCAUUACUGAUGCACUGUAUAGCAAAAGUGAGAAACGAGUUAAGCCGCUUGCAUGAUCAAACAAGACACCAGUGCCAGAAAUGUGAUUUAGGCCUAGCUCUUUCAAAUUUUACAUUGAAAUCCUAGCCCCUAAACUGUCUCUUCAAGAACACAGUUAAGCAUCUUUCACUCCAUUGAGAAAUUUAUGGUAGCAAAUAUUCUUUUGGUGGAGUAACUUUUUCAUAGAACUGUGCUUUGUGAUACUGCUUCCAAGAACUUCAAAACACUCUUCAUAUUCCCUAUCUCAAAGCACUAGACCAGUUUAAAAACACUGUGGUGCCAGGUGCUGCCCUUCUUUUAAUUGUUGGUCCCCAGUUUUGCCCAUUUGCCUGAUAUCUUUUUCUUCAAGCAACAUGAUUACUGAACUAUUUGAUCUCCAACAAUUUACUCAAGCUCUACCCUCUUUUCCUAAUGCAUUGUCUGACAAAUCCCAAUAAGAUAAGUCUAGCAGUGAACUAAUAUCUUAGUACUUACAACCCCAGGCAGUGGUUACAGACAUGCUUUUUUUAAUAAUUAAGCUGUUCAAACACUAGCAAAAUGUAAGUUAUCUGAGUAAGUUUUAUGUCAAGCAGUCUUAUGCCACAGAUCACUCUUGCUCUUUCCUCCCCUCUGUUACAUGCCUUUUCUAAAAUCAAACUUUGAAAGUAGGUGCAUCGUUUCAUUGCAGCACUCUAACAUGCUAAUUAAGGAUAUUUAAUUGUACUCUCUGAAGCUGGCUUCUUUGCUCUUUAACUUUCAAAUCCACUCCAUUUAUCAUGUGCAGCUCAUCCCUAUCUCUCCUUUUAGUCCUAUGUGUUUCUAAAUCCCCAUUUCCUCCUGUAUCAUCAAUCCAAAUAAUCCUGUAUAAUUGACAGCUUUGUCAAUAACUGGCAGUGGCAAUUUACCAGAAAGCACAGUUUAAUAUCUUCCUUCUUUCAGCCUCCAGGAAGAUGGAUACACCUGAUCUUUCUCCUCAUUACUCCACAUGUCUUGCGCUCAGUAUUUUCCCUCUCAUACUGUUUGUUUGCAUAUGUAAAACCUGAGCCAGCUGAGUCCCAAUUUUUUUAUUCUAGCUUACUGUCUUCCCUUAAUGUUUUCAGCCUUUUUCUCAGGAGGAUGAAUCAUUGUCAUAUUAGCUAGUGUAAAAAUGUGCUCCUCUGUCUCCUUCUGGGAACACAGUGCUUCACCUGCAUGUAAAGCAUAUCUUGGUUAAUAUUCUCUGCUCCAAAUGCAGCAGCCUUUUUAAAAGUGCUGUUAAUGUAACCAAGACACAAUAAAUGGGCAAAAGGCUGCUUAAGAAAUGAAAUACUUGCCUGAAAGACUGUGAUACUUCUCUAAGGUCCUGAGAAUCCAUGUCUUCCUGAUCCUUUGCAUAUUAGCUUUUCAAGUAAUGAAUUUUUAGUGAGCCAUAAAGAAUUUCUCUUUCAUCUAUAAAUAUGGUAUUUGUUUGUUUUUGUAUUGCCCCAGAAGCUGGGAAAGCUAGAGUGAGUUCGUUCGGUAGGGAGACACCGUGCCAUCUUGCUGCAGCUUCAGGCUCAAUUUUUGGAACAUUGUUUAGAUGACAUUUUGGUUCUUCACUGUCAUCCUAAUCUCAAGGAAGACAGGUAGAAAGGGAAAUAUAUUGAGUAUCUACCAUUCAGUCACUGUAGAGACAUGCUCUAAAGAGAACAGUUGACCAGGGACUUCAGGAGAAGAGAAUGUGGAAAUGAACAGCAAAGGGUCAAAGCCUCAUUUUGUGCUGCUCAGAAAAAGCAGGCGUCUGCCUUAAGAGAAUAACCGAGGUUACAAAGUGCAAUUCUGGGGUAAUUGCCAUUAAGCUAGUUUCUUUUUUCUAUUACCUAGUAUGAGUGCAUGGGAAGGGCUGCAGCGUGUUGUUUUCUGGCGGGUAUUCGUUGCUGUAACAAGUCUUGCAGAACAGUGGUGAACUAGGAGGCAUUAAGGCAUAAUCAAAAAAAAAUUUUUUUUCGAAGCCCCUAGUACAUGUUAGGACAUACUUGGUGCCCAUUUAUCUGAAAGGGGCACUGGCAAGUUGAAUUUUAUAAAAUAAGCUAUUUCUGUGGAACUUUCUUUUACUGUUGCCCCUUUCAAUAGCUUGUCUUAAAAUCUACAAAGCUUUCUGCUUCUUUUUUAAUGCUCAGGGAGGUCUUGGGGUACAUUUGAAAGCAAUAACGUCACGCAUGCUCAGCUCAAGCAGCCUUCUUCCCGACAUCGUGGGGCCUCACGCUCACAUGCCCUCUUGCUGCCCUCUCACAUUUGGUUUUGCUGCUGCUGCGCCCUGCGGCAGGACAAGGCUCUUUAGUGCCUUAUCAUCUGCUGCGAUUGUUUCUGCUCGUUGUUCGUUACAUCAGCAGUGCUGCUGACGCACGUCUCCUUGGAUGUUGCUGUAUUUUCUUGCUUACUCUGUUUCUUAGGCCCAGCAGCACUUUGAGAUGCAUUCGUUGUGGAAGGGGAAGAUUUUCUUGUGAUACAGUCUUUGCAAUCAGAGGGCAAACCUGUCCCUUCUCAGGGGUUCUCGUAGCAGCUGUCUAUAGUCUCUUGGCAUUUGCCCUUUAAUCAAAUGUCUCCUUUUGUCUUCAGUAAAUCUGACAGCAGUCAGCUAGCACGUAUGUGAGCUCAUGUUCCUGCUAUGAGAAAAGAUUGCCAUUAGCUACACGAGUGCACUUCUGAGCAGAGAAUUUUCUUCAGUAUUUUAGCUGGUUCUUAGUUGCCUUUUUACAGUGAAAGUGCAACCUGUUCCUAAUAAACCUGAUGGGUCUAUGAGGUUUUUGGAUUUUUUUAAUUUUAUUUUUAUUUUUUGAAAACCAUGAUUAAGCUCAUCACUGGCUGAAUGUCAGUGCUAAUAUGUAGAGGGGACCAACCAGGCAAAUUGUACUUGGCUAGUUUUACUUAAUGAGGACGUCUGAUGGUGCUUAGUCACUUCCUUACUGAGUUCAGGUUCAACUACUAAAACAGACCCAAGAGCUUUUGGUAAAAUGUUUUUGAAAGAUGAGGAGCAGAUUAUAAUGAUGUUCUCAGACUGAUUCCUCUAUUUGCUGUGAUUGCUGUGAUGUACCAGCGAGAAUAAAAAAAAAAUGUGUGUUUAGAGCAGUGCCAGGCAAUAUUGCUGGCAAUGAAGGACAAAUAUGGAAUUAGCAUCUGAAAACACUGAUUUGACAACAGUUGUCAUUAAGUUGUGUUUAUACAGCAAGGCCAGUCUUUCAGUAGCCAAGUGCCUGCAUGGUUAAGAGCAGAGAAGGUGUAAGAUCUAAUUAAACACACCUUUCAGUAGUAUAAUCCUUUGUGAAAAUAAAUAAAGUGAAUUUGUCAGUGGAGGUGUUUGUAAACCUGUAUUUAUACUCUUGAAAAGAGAAAGACAAAAAGAAUAUGCAGAGCCAAAGCUUCCCAUAAGCCAUUCUGCUGAUUUUAAGGUGUUGCCUUCACAUGUUUAUUUUAAAAGUAUUUUUUCUCUAAUCUCACUGUAAGAUUGAGCCCCACAGGAAAUAGAAAAUUUUCUGCAUUGCUGGUUAUAUCACAAGGCUGGUAGGAAAAGUUCUGCUCAAGCCAUGUUUUAUGGGAAAUGGAGUUUAACAACUUUCUCUGUAGAAAACCUUUGGUUUCUCUGUGCAAUUUUGAAUUUUAUCAAACACAAUAUCUGAAAACACUUUUUUUCAUACAGAGUAAAAAAUCUGUAAACAAAAACCAUUUCCAUUCAGCUGUACUAUUCGGCAGAAGCAGAGAAACUGAUCCUAUUUGGAAAAAAUGCUAUUUUUCUUUGUAACUUCAGUUAUAGAUGACUGGAGCAUUACAUGUAACAGUGGUAGACAGAAAAAAUCGGAAUUGUGAGUUUGAAGUUGCUGGUGCCCUUUGGGUUAUUUAAAAUCAAAGCGGAGGAGAGGAGGCUUUCCAUCAGAUGUCUUCCAUGUUGACCCCAUGCUGAGAUAUCAUGGGGUCACAUUGUGGUUUUGGGGGAGUUUUAAUCCCAUGCUUGUUACAGCUUUUCCAAUGCACUUAAUGUAAAGGGAGAAGACAAGUGAAAAGAGCUUUGUUAUGACUGCUGUGAAAUCAACUUCUGUGGUUGCAGUCAUCAACUAAGUAAUUGGAUAUCCUUUUGGAGGCAGAAGGGACAGCAUGUUAUAACCACUUCUGCAUCAGAGAAGAAAUCUCACCAAGAAAACUGUUACCAGGAUGGUAAAGAUGGGCCAUGCUGACCCUGACUGAUUGUCCUGUCCUACGAGAAGCUGCUGUUUCCCGACAAGGCCUGUUUUGAAGCUGCUGGUUCCCAGAUCAUCUUUGAAAUAGAAACUGUUUGGGGAAGGGAGGAGUUGAAUUUCAUGUGGCAUCCUUCCUUAUUCAGUGGAAGAACUGAAGAGCUGCUUUGCUGCUGGAGAGUGGAACAAGCUGAGGCCUGCGAGCUGCCCUGCUACUUGAUGGUCUGCAGAGCAAUAGCACCGUACGGUGUAAGGUUUCCUGACGCCCAUGUGAAGAAGGUGACACCAGGAUACUGAUCUUAAAGAUAAGGAAACAAGUUCAGAAAGGGUCCAAAGUAUUACACAGUUAGAGGGAGAAAGAAACUUCAUCUCAAUAAAGAUGGAAAGAACAGAGACUGCAUUUCAGGGACUAGGAAGAAGAUGCGUCUGUGGCAGUGAACGGCAACAUCAGCCGGCCAUGGUGCAGAAUCCUGCCGCAGCGACGCUGCUGUGAUGGCAGCGAAGAGCAGAGGGCCCUCCACCCCUGCAGACGGAUCCUGCUGAGGUGGCAGUGCCUUCCGAUUACCUGCAGGCAUUUUCCUGUGUUAAAUAACCUCCUUUCAGCUGUUGAAACCGAGGCACUCUUGUGUAGUUAACAUGAGAUUGCCGUAUUAAAUUCUCCUUGGCUCUCUUGCAAGCAAUAGUAGAGGAGUAGGGUAGAGAUUUCAGUAAGGGCUUCGCAUGGGAAGGACUGUGGGCUCUCCUGAAUGCAGCUGGCAUCCCUAAAUGGGGAUGAGAAGAAAAGUACCGUCAAGCCGCCGUGACAAGCCAGUCCACAAUGACUCUGUCCCGACAUAGCAAACUCAAUAGCUGGCGAUAAACAGCGCAGAGUAGGAGGAGGUCGCAUAUUCAAGGCAUGGUUAAGGGGGAGGGAAUUGGCCUUGAGCUCCAGUAGGUUCAGAGAAUGGUUUCUAGUGGGAAGUAUGGAAAAUUUGUCAAUUGGUUCAUCUAAAAUUAGACUGGACAAAAAACCCCAAACCUGAUUAUAACAACUGUUUGGUCAGGGAUUGCUCUGUGUGUGCAGAGAGAUGGGAUGACAGUGUGGUGGAGUCGGAAAAGCCGGAAUGAGAAAGACUAGACGGGGCUAAAGCUUCUCAGCAGUGAAAGUUCGGAAGUUGUCUCUGUGCGACUGUAGCUCUUGAUGCCUACGUAAUGGCCAGAAAAUGCCUCUGCUGACCUGGGUAAUGCUAAGAGCAGCGUAGAGUCAGGGUUUGCUCAUGCUGAGGCGGGUUCCUACAGAGCUCUGCUGGCAGCUCUCCUUCACAACGGAAUUGCAGCUCGUGCAGUUUUACGACCAUAAUGUCAUUUCCUAAACAGAUUGGACUGUGCUAGCAAAAAAAAAAAAAGUUCUUCCGCUUUUAUAUUUGUCUAUGGGAGCGUGAAAGGGUACACCUUAAGAAAAAAUAACUGUAAAAGCUGUAUGCGUUGGCAGUACAGGAAUGGAUUUUAUUGAUGAGUGACUUGGAAGCCUCUGAAUAGGUAGCUCUACCCCCACUGAAGAACUGGUCUAUAUGUGUCUUUGCAUAGGUUUAAUUAAACCCUUUUAGUUAGACUGUCAUAACAUUUUUGCAUUUUAAGGUCCUUAUUUUCCUCAGAGUGGCGUAUUUCAGUUUAGUUUGACCUUGCUUCUAACUUUUAAGAAAUUUUAAACCAAAACAGCACAUCCAUAGCCUCCUGUACAGACACACCAAAGGUGCUUUAACUACUUUGGCUUAUGCUGAAGAAAGUGCCUUUGCCUGUCUGUAAGUAACCAGACAGUGCUGACCUUCAGUUUCUCUUUGUGUAGCUACUUUUCUAUUUACACACUAUUUUAAAACCUGCUCUAAUUUUGCCAAAUGAAACCAAGACACACAUACUCAGUAUGGGUCUUAAUUCAGGGUAGACGUUGUGGUGAUCUUAAUGCUUUUCUGGGAGGCAUGGCUAUAAAAAAUGAGCUGACACUGAUUUAUUAAAGUUUCUUUUCUUUUGUGCCUCAGAAGUGUCAGCGUUUUUUAACAGUCUGAAAAGCUUCUGUACAAGUAGUAGGAAACCUGAAGAGGCUGAGAAGGUUCUCUGGUGUGUGUCUUGGGAGACAUGGUUACAGCCAGGUUGCUGCCUUUUGAAACAUAGUUAGGAGGUAUGGUCUGAAGAGGUGAAAAUUAACAGUUAAGGUCAUUCCUCAGCCGAUGUCCUGUAGCACUGCUGCGUGCAUGUGCAGCAGAAGUGGAGAUGAGCCAAAGAGCAGCUGAGUCUGUGGAUGGUUUUGAAUCCAAAGUCAUGAUGGGACCUGCUGGGAUGUCUAGGAUCCUCCCCCAGAGCAUUAAUGAAAAAUAGAUGCCAUCUGGAAGGAUUUUCAUGCCAAGGGAUUGUGAUGCCAUCUUUGUCUUCCAGUUCUCAUCAAUCACAAAUGGCUUUUAAACAGAUUUAUAUUUUACCUUCAAUCAGAUGAUUUCAUCUUCUCAGCUACUAGGGACACUCUCUUUGACCUUUCAAAGCCUCUUUUAGAAGCAGGACUUAUUUCUGAUCAGAGGCAUUCGUUGUGAUGGAUGCUCUGUUACUCUUCUUAUUCCUUUUCCCACACCAGUAUAUUCCUCCCUUUUUCAUGGCUCUUCCACUCCUUCCCUUACCACUAUAUUUUCUUUCCUCUCCUUUUGCUGUAGGUUUAAAGAACAUUUUUUUUUUACAUUUCUAAAACUUGGGUGCUUAAGUAUGAAAUUGUAGUAUAUUGCAUUAAAAUUUUUCCAUCUGCUAGAUUAAAAAAAAAAGCUGUAAUACUUUCACAGAGGCUGGGAUUUUUGCAGUUUUACUGUGAUUGUAUGGUAUGUGUGCGGAUGUGGGUGAAUGCUUUUGAAACCAAUUAAAUAUAAGUGAAUAGUACACUCAAUACGGUAGCCAUGGCAAGUUAUGUUGAUGUGGAAUCUAUUUAGUUUGCAUAGAUUGCUCUCACAUUUUUAAUCCACCUCUCUCCAGUUCAGUAUUAACUAUUGGAUUGGACUACCCGUACCUCUUCGCUAUGAUGACACUGUCUUUAUGCGGCUCAUGUUUUUGAAAGAUAUUUCUAUUAUGUCCAUAAGAGUUGGAAUCAUUUAUCGUUUAGUGCAAGUCUAGUAAUACAAUCCUUGGGGAGUUUUCUAGGCCACAGAAUCCCAGGGGAGCAGCCUGUGGAUAGUCUGCUGUGUAACAACACAGUAAAAUAAAGGCAGGGUUUAAAUCAAGUAAUUGCUGGCAUAUUAUCUGUAAUGUGUUUAGGCUUAGUUUAAAAAAACAAUCAGAAAACAAUUAAUUCCUUCACGAGAAAGUUUCUAGCGCAUCAUGUUGGAACGUGCAGAGCCCAGCUGAGGUUGUGGUACCCACCAUACAGGUGCUCCAAAUGGGGCAGUCCCUGCCGGGGAGAACUCGUGGCUGAGAUGGCUGGUACAGAGGAGGGAAAAGGGGGAGAGUUAUCAUCGUUUUAUGGAUGGAAAACUGAGACACAAAAGUGUUAAAGGUGGUCUAUAGCUGAGGUGGGAAUUCACACAUGUAUCUGGUUCUGUCUACUACAGCAUCCUUUCUGUUUGACUUCCUUUUUAGUCCAGGUGGAAUGAAUCACGGUGUGGUAAAAUUGUCUUUUCAGAAUUUUUAAAUAGCUUUAAAAAACCUAUCUUUAGGAGCAUUCAAGAAUAUGAGGAACCAGUACAACAGAGGUGUCUGACACAGAGUAGCCUGAUGCCUGUGUAAUGAUCGGAUGCAGAGCAGUAAAAAUACUUAAUAUAGGGUUUAAAAAACACUUUUAGGACAGUGGUCAGAAUAUGUCUAUAGCAGAUGUGGAAGGAAGUAGGAUUAGGCUGAUCUUUCAUUAGCUAGUACUAAAUCCAUGUUGUCUCUAAAAACUAAAAUCCUGGUGAAGUCCGGAGAGGUUCUUCAAUUGGAUUUACUGAGGCUGCUGUAUGUGAUCAAUAGGCAUUUGUUUGUCAUUCCCUGGAUCUGUCUGCCUGGCUUAAGGCCUUGCAAACUCUGCCAGUGUGACGAGGCAGCUGCUUCGCCACUUCCAGACACUUAGGUCCAUGGUCCUCCUCCCUACUGUGCGCUGGGGAGGUCCCUGGGGGCUGCGGAGGGGGAAGCAGUUGCGCUUUUGUUCCCCCAGGCUGUGGAGUGGCAGUGAAGUCAUUUGAUAACCAAUAAUCAAAUCUCAAAACAUAUUUUCUCCUGAAGGGUUCAGGAUACAAGAGUAAGGGGCAUGAAACAAUUGCGCCUUUACGUCGGCCAUGCUCCUUCCCAUCUUUGCCUGGGCGGUGCAGCGUCCCGUCCCUGCUCCCUGCUUAUCUUAGAACAGCAGAAGAUGUCAUUCUGCUGAUGGAAGCCUCCUCCAAGGUGCAGGGCCGGGAAAUGGGAUUUGCCCCCGUGGCAGUUUAAGGUCAAGCUCCUUUAAGUCCUCACAGCAGUUUAGCUGAGCUGCAGUGGGGAGGAGGCCGCAUGCACCCCAAGCGUGAUGCUCCGGCAGGUCGCUUCCAAACGGGUGUUUUGAGACGGUGGCAUAUAAACAAGUAAAAUGAGAUUGAUCUGAGGAGAACAGGUAUCUACCUUCACAGAGCUCUUGCACUAAACUCAUCUGAACUCCAAAGGUUUCUGCUUGCUGAAUUUAAAGCCUCAUACCAUUAACAGCACUGAAGCAGUAUUUUUCAGCAUAAUUUUUUUUAGGUCUCAGUGGCAUUCAUAAAUCCAAGUGAAUUAGUGACUACAGAAGGGUUAAGCUUAAAUUGGUCAUGGCAAAGGUCUGUGUGUUAAUUUUCUCUUUAUUUUGUAGAAAGGGUAUAUAAUAAUGCAGAGCUGGUUGCAUUCAGUAAUUAUUAUUUUGUUAUUUAUUUUUAUUAAACAUAUUUCCAAUAGAAAACAAAAUUCAGACAUGAUUUUGGACAAAGAGCAAUCCACCAUCUGAUCUGCCCUAAAAUUCCUGCUGCAUGCUUAAAUGCCAGCAGUAUGGUAACCAAAAGCUAUGUGAAACAUCCUAUUGCUUAUUGGUAUUUUUUAACCUAUAUCUAAACAACGCUAAUUAUAAUCUUAAAUAUUUAAUUUAUGUGGAUAUAUAAAUACCAAAUUGUUUUUCCUCACACUGAAAAAGAACUUUGAAGAGCUUAAGAUCCUUAAUGAAUCUUUUAACAGGCAAUAUGUUUCAGUUUGAAAAUUCCGUCUUCCCUUACCUUACUAUUUUUUCUAGAAUAAGAUUUGGCUUUGGUUGUUUUUGUGGUUCUAUAACAAAUAAUUAAAUUGUUUUCUUAAUUUUAACUCAUCUUUGAAUAGAUGAGUUUUUCUUCAAAUAGCGAGUAGGAGUAACUAUUGAUACUGUAUCAUCUUUUAUUAGUGAGGCAGGUUUGAAUCACGCAAUAUGCAAAAAGAAAAGGGGGGGAGAAUAUUUGUGGGAAAAAGUCAUCAAGCUGCUGAAGUAUUUGAAAAAGAGGCAUAUGCAUAUUAGGAACAAGGUAACAUUAAUUUAUUUUCCUGCUUGUUAUAAAUAACAAAAGGUUACCAGUGGGAAUGAUUAUAUGAUUUAUCCUGUUCUGUGCUUUUAUUAGACUUACAGGAAAAUGUACUUAUUACCAACUUUUACCAUCUCUUGUAAUAAAUUUGCAUUUUAAUAGGACAGAGUACUUAAAAAGUCAGAGGGCGAGCUGCGUGAAGGUAACAUUUUUGGCAUCACUGUUCUCAUAAGCAAAUGAAGACUGACGACCAGUAAGUGCGGUCAGUACUCUGCUGAAGAAGAAUAUAAACCAUGGUAAACAAGAAUAAAUCCAGGCCUGCAGGGCCUAAUGAAAAAAUAAUCCUCUUGAGAGGAAAGAUCAUUAUGCACCACCACGCUAAAGUUGCCAUCUACUAUCCUGACAGUUCUGGAGCUACUGGACUCCAGGAUUUAUGUCCAUGUGUGUUGAAUCCGGCUGCAUAUUUCCUCGCACUGUCAGGGAAACCUGAUCUGCCCUAUAAUCUUUCUUACUUUCUGGUUAUUAAAAUAUCAGCACUAUGCAUAAUUUAAGCAGGGUUAUAUAGCUCUCUUCUAACACAUGAGGACAACAGGACAGAUUACAGUAAUAUUUCCUGAUUGGCAAAUGGAAGGUAAGGGAGUUGCAGUUUCAUUAAAAUGCUGCUAAGAUGGGCUGUAGCUGCUCUAAGGGACAGUCCUGUUCUCCCUUCCCUGACCACAUGUUCCCACCCCCUCGCUUUUGUCAGAGGGCUAGAGAAGGGGCCGCUGCACAAGCUGCAUCAGCUAACACAGUUAAUGUAGAGAUGUAUAAUUUUUGUAAAGAAUAGAGGGGGAAAAGAAUCUUAGGUUAAAUUUAAUACAGCUAGAACUCACCCUCCAGCAUCUCGGUUUAGGAAGCAAAUGUGAACGUUUCUUCAUUAAGCAAAAUAUUUCUUAGCAAAUUAAUAGUGGGAAUUUAAAUAUAUAUAAACAUAUUUAAACAGUAGGAAUUUAAGUAUACUUGUGGUUUUAGAAAUUGAAUGUUGAUUAUACUCAUAUUGAAAGAAUCACACUUCUCUUCCUUGUCUGAAAUCUCUAUUAGAGAGCCUCUUGAUAGUAUUUCAGCUUCUAGCUAACCUUUCAGAGCACGUCUGCACAUUUCUACUGCCAGCUGUAGUUAGGAUAAAAUAGAUGCUGAAGAGCAGUGAACAUGUGUAAAAUUGUAUCUCACAAAUCACACUAGGAAUUUUUUCUAUUGCUUUGGCUUCCAGGGGCUUUCAGCUUAGUACUGAUUUGAAGGUAUUUAGCCAUUUUGAGCAUACUAGUUUAUCUUUCUUUUGUUUUAUGCAUGUUAAUAAUGAUGUUUGAGCAAAUGUCAGAGGGAAGAGUUCUUUUAAAGUCAGAUUUCAGGCACUGAAUUUUAAUGUUUACCUUAUAAUCUCCAUCAUACUUAAACAAUUUCUGUAGUUUUUGCAGUUGCAGAUGUUAAAGUUUUAUCAUCGGUAGCACUGUUAUGCAAAGGGAGAAAAAACACUUGAACAAACCUUAACUAACUGCAGGCAGUAUUUACCAGGUUUAUGUAGUUUGACAGACAACAUACAGACUUUAUUAUAAACACUAGGGUCUAAGUGGACACUGCUGCAGGUCGUAAUUAUUGAAUUCUAAUUAUAUUUCUCUCCAGUGCAAGGCAUACAUUUGUUUUGGAUGCAUUAUUCAUGAAAAAAUUAGAUUGUUGCUAUCAUUGUUCUAAAAAAGUUUUGUAGACCAUAAAAAGUUGAAUCAGGAGUUGUAAUGCUGAGGCAGGUAGUGGAUAACACAAAUCAAGAAUGUAAAACAGAAACAAGGAAGCUGCAUUGAUCUAGGUGACUCUCUUGCUGGCUCAGUCAAGAAACUCUGAAUACUAGAGCUGAGAUCAUGAAAUGUGUGAUCCUAAGUCUUAACUUCCACUCAGACAGGCCACCCUAAUAUAUCUGCUUCUCCAGCUUGAUCACUGUUGUAGAUAAUUUUCCCUACCCCAUGCUUCAUUCACUAGCUGAAAGACAGUAAAAUAAAAUAGUUAUUGGGCUUGACAAAAUCAACAGAUAAGGCAAAAUCCAUCCCUUUUGCCAGGUUUUAUUUCAACCUGAGAUACUACUCCAGAUGGUAACUAGGAAGACUAUCCUGGCUCAGGCUGACUUCCGUGGCAUAGCUGGCAGUGUCAGGCUUAGUCUUUGCAGAAAGAGAUGCACUCUUUUCUUGGAAGUGGGAGUCUGGGAUAUCUGGCACCUUGCAUGUGAUUCUACAUAAAAAAGGAAUUCUACAGUACCAUCUUGCAGACUUCCUACAGCACAUUGAAAAACUCUGGAUAAUCUUAUUGCUCCCAUGUAACAACUCUGCCAAUAUUUAUCCAAUUGAAGCAUCAAGGAUUAAAAAGGUUGCAUUUCAUCCAGGAGAACUCCUCAAAGGAAAACAAACCUCAUGCUACCAAAUUUCUCAGGUUAAACAAUCAAAUUCAAGACAAAUACUUCAGGGAGUAGAAUAAUAAAAACUGUAUCAGAGCCCUCAACAAUAUUAUAUGAAAAGGGGAAAAGAGAAAUAUUUAGGAGGUAAGUGGAGACACUUGUAAGCAGCCCAGCUUUUUGCAUCACAAGACUAUGUAAAAGCUACAAAGAGCACACAUUUCUAAGAUCAACAGUAAGCAUACUCUUUAGCUUUUAGAAGUGUAUUAUGAGCUGACAGACUAUGCUUUUAACUUCUGCAUUUAUUCUUUGUUUUUAAAUCAAGAUCCACUAAUUUGAACUCCUUAUCGCAGAACGUGAUGCAAUGCAAUGACUUUUACAACACUCAGCCUGGAGGGUUCUGUGUUACUGUACAAUAGCUGAAGAAAAUGUCAAGUACAAAAAAUGUACUGUUCUCCUGAUACAAAUUAGCUUAUCAAGUAAAAAGCAAAACAGAGAACUCUGACCCUAUUAUAGUAGAAUGUAAGGCACUGGAUUAACACUCCAGACUUCUAAUUAAUCACAAUGUCUCAUCCUCUUGAUUCUAGCUGAGUGGCCCACUCUUCUAAUUUAAACCAGCAGCUGUCCAAUAUUAACACUUACCAGUCAGUGUUGAUUCUUGUGCAGCUGUCAGCCUAGAUGCCUGUGUUGCAAUUCUAAACAUUUUAAAAGUAGAUUUCAGAAAUAUUCAGAAACAUCCUUAAGCCUGAAAUACACUUUUAUUUGUGUGAAUAUUAAAAAAAAUACAGAACUCAAAUUAUUUAAGAACCGAAAAACAUAACUCUACACUGCUUAUGCUGUUUUCUCAGGCAAGAAGUACAGAACAGUACUUACUAUGGUUCAAGACAUCCAUGAAGCACUUCAUAAUAACUAAUUACAGUCAUCAUGAUUUUACAGCUUUACUUAAAGAAACAGGAAUCCCAAAAUGUGUCAUGCACAUACCAAAAUUAUUUUAAGAUGAUAUCAAUCCAAGUUUGGUACCACUUCUCAGAUAAAAUUUGUGUACCACUGAACUACUAGAGUAAGAAGAUAUAUAUUUAAACCACUUAAUUUAUUUCAGUUGUUACCAUACUUUAAGAGGAAUACUGCAUAUGAAUUGAAACCACUGAUUCAACAGACAGGAAUUUAUCUUGUAUGCGAGAUCUUGUUUCUCUGAUACAAUUCUUUUUAUUCCAAUAAAUUAAAUAUUGAGAAGCAACAUGUCUUCACCAAUAUCUAAAAGAAGUUCCUCUCUUGAGUUUUCAUAAAUGCUAGCACACCAUAAAGUAUUUCUGUAAUAGCAUCCCUCUACUCCUUUUAAAAUAUCUGAAAUUCAAACCAAACUGAGUUUUUCUCACUAUCAAGAGCCAAACUUAGAACUUCUCUCCAAAGAAAGACACAAUAUGUCACCUUCAAAAAGAACUCUUAUAACACUAGCACAUGGUCUUAAAAGCUGCAGAUUAGUCCCCUGACCUGUUUUCCAAAAUGUAAAAGUGUACUAAUACGCAUUCAGACAAAGAAGAAUGAGACAGAAAUUUAAUCUAAAUCUGCAGUCUCUACACAAACUUAGUUUAAUAUGCUUUUAUUAUUCAUAAAGGGUAUUUUCUUUUUCAGUUUGCACUACAGAUAAGCAGGAAUGGACUUCAAUACUGAUUCUUCAGUUAUCUAUAAAACCAUGAAAAAUUGAAAAACUGAAGACAGACAAAGCCCAACUGACUGGUUUUUUUUUUUUUUUUUUACAUAUUGUUACUGGAUCUUCAAACCACAAAUGUCAUCAGUAGGGAUGGUAACGAGGCCCUGGGUUGUAGGAAUUGUAGCCAUAUUGUCCAUAGUGAGAAGAGUAAGAUUGUCCUUGUCUGUGCUGCUGGUAGUUAUUACCCCAACUUCUUUCUGGCCUCUGAUUAGAUCUAUGGUCACCUUGCCAGUUGUAUCUGUCCCCUCUAAAAUAUCUGCCAUCUUGAAACCUGUAAUGCAAAGAAGUGUCACAAAGUCUUGCACAAACAUGAGAUUUUAAAAGAUGAAUGAUAAUGAACUCUUAAAUGUUUGCACAAGAACUGUCAUCCAACUAUUUAUACACUCAAUUACUUAUCAUUUUUACAACAAACUGAUAAAAGUGUAUCCACAGUCAUCUUAGGUCAUUCAUUUAUUUCUUGCUACUACUCAACACAUCAUUUGCUGAGCAGUGGAAGGCAGAGUGUUACCAAAUACAAAGUAUUCACAACAUAUUAGAUGAACUCCUGGAACUUUGAAUAAAGACUCCAACAGACCAUACCUAAAAAGCAGUCAGAUGGUAUAUCUGUAGAUAGCUAGAUACAAGCCAGUUUCAAUCUAGUAGCUUUAUGGCACUAGGCUGAAAGCUGUGGCAAAGCAGGUUUAAGUACAACUUAGCUACCAAACAGCCUAAAGUCUUGGAAUUUCCAUAUUCCUUAAAAUAUAUGCUAUCAUUGUUUCAUGGUCUCUUAUCGAUUACCAUAUUCAAGAAAGUGAGUACGUAACUCAGAUACACUCGAGGAGCCACUUAUAGUAUUUAGUCUUUGUUCAGACUAAAUUGUUUUUACAGUAGUAGCAGCAUUACUAUCCACACCUGAGCUGCCUCACAGCCAUUUUGCUUAAAUAUCUCAAUGGUGUGGUGUAGUGCACUAUAAACAAACAAUAUUUGCAUAAGUUGCAAUCAGCCUCAUGACCAGAGUGGAGACACAACAGUUCAUUAGUUAAAAGAAGAACAAGGUUUUGUAAGAAUAGCUCCUUAAACGAUCAUCCCUUUUUCUAAUCUAUAGAAACUGAUUCUGCGUUUAACUUACUGAAAAGCUUCUAGGGUGAGAAAAAGUUAAAGUGUUGUCCUUUUGUUUUACUUCCGAGAAGGCACAGAUCCUGUUUAGACAUUUAGUUAAGAAAUAUUCCCAACUGUUAGCAGGACUGGCAUUUUAACUACUUUAACAUCAAGUCUGAUGUCACAUGAUAUGCUGCCAUUUUCCUUUUUCCGUCACACAAAAAUCAGAUGUUACUGUUCAGAAUUAAGUAAAAAGCUACAAUUACAUCCUGAAGAAAUAGUAUAAUUCAAAAUAUUUUUAGGUAGGAAAGUAACAUUGCACUUGCUAGACAAAGACGAUGGAUUUCACAGUCAUUUCUAAUAGAUAAAAAAUGCAAUGCUAUUGAGGUUGCGAAUGAAAUGUUUUUGGACAGCUAGCAAUACAUAAUUAUGUUAUUAGCCUGUUCCUUUGCACAGUCAGUUUCCUGAUGAUUAUUAUGCAACAGAAGAUAGGCUGCUUAGUUUUGCAGAACUCUCAUCUUUCCCUGCUGGAAAAGCGUUCCUGGCUGAACAGCAACAAACCCAAGGGCAAUGGGUUGAGUGGUUCCCACUCAUUCCUUACUGAACAGCAUUUUACUUUAUACUUCUAUACAACUGCAAAAACAUUCAGUAUCAGUACAGAGAAAACAUAAAAAUUCACUACGUUUUAGAGGAGACUGUUUCUUUUAAAUAUAGAAGCCUAUGCAGUAACAAAAAGAUACUUCUGUUAACACAUUACUUCUCUUUAUUCUGAAAUACACCUAACCAUGUAUUUGUGAAACUACCAAGUUCUGUAAAAAAAAUAAAAAUAAAACAGUACCGAUCUCUG